CUGAAUUGUUCAGUUGGCUGUUUUUAAGGAACAUUGAUGAAGCGGUGCCAUGAGGGGGCCAAACUGAGGAUCCCAGAGCUGCUGCACGCCCUGGAGGAGAACCACACGUCAUCGCUGCGUAACCGUAUUUACGGCUACUUUGCAGCAUUCACAGCCUCCAUAUACGGUCAUCACCCGGGGGGAAGUCCGUAACCUCUGGGUUUGCGAGGUGGAGAAGGCUGCAGAGGCGCACAAGCCUGGCGAUGAGGGUUUUGUGAUCUCUGGAACACGAGACAAACAACUCAAAUGGUGGGGCCCAAAUGUUGUUGGAGACUGACGAGUUUCGCUGGCUGGAGAGGUGGCUGCAGCUGCAGGUGGCCAGCAAGCCACGAACCAGGUGUUUUUUUUUUCACGGCUGGGAAGGGCCCGUGCAAGAACUUCUUGCACCACCUGCAGGUAGCAUGGGCAGAGCUGGGCCUCAAAGGGUCCCCCAACUUCACCCACCUGAGGACCGCUGUGUCUACACAUGCCAAGAACAACUUGCAUGCCGAGCAGCAGAAGAUGGUGGCCACCUUUAUGUUGCCACAACACGGCCACAGCUGACUGCUUCUACACCCUCAGCCUGAACGUGGCCCAGUCAAAGAGGA